rnacentral:rRNA from 1 species
UACGUAGGGUGCGAGCGUUGUCCGGAAUUAUUGGGCGUAAAGAGCUCGUAGGCGGCUUGUCGCGUCGGAUGUGAAAGCCCGGGGCUUAACUCCGGGUCUGCAUUCGAUACGGGCAGGCUAGAGUUCGGUAGGGGAGAUCGGAAUUCCUGGUGUAGCGGUGGAAUGCGCAGAUAUCAGGAAGAACACCCGUGGCGAAGGCGGCUCUCUGGAACGCAACUGACGCUGAGACGCGAAAGCGUGGGGAGCAAGCAGG